rnacentral:misc_RNA from 1 species
GAUGAAAGAACGUAGCGAAAUGCGAUAAGUAAUGUGAAUUGCAGAAUUCAGUGAAUCAUCGAAUCUUUGAACGCACAUUGCGCCCCUUGGUAUUCCGAGGGGCAUGCCUGUUCGAGCGUCAUUAUAACCCCUCAAGCUCAGCUUGGUGUUGGGGCCUGCUGCACUGGCAGCCCUUAAAAUCAGUGGCGGCGCCAUCUGGCUCUAAGCGUAGUAAUUCUUCUCGCUAUGGAGUCCUGGUGGAUGCUUGCCAUCAACCCCCAAUUUUUCUAUGGUUGACCUCGGAUCAGGUAGGGAUACCCGCUGAACUUAAGCAUAUCAAUAAGCGGAGGA